ACAGCAGUCGCCGCGGUAAUACGGAGGGGGCUAGCGUUGUUCGGAAUUACUGGGCGUAAAGCGCACGUAGGCGGCUUGGUAAGUUAGAGGUGAAAGCCCGGAGCUCAACUCCGGAAUUGCCUUUAAGACUGCCGAGCUAGCAGGUGAGAGAGGUAAGUGGAAUUCCGAGUGUAGAGGUGAAAUUCGUAGAUAUUCGGAAGAACACCAGUGGCGAAGGCGGCUUACUGGCUCAUACUGGACGCUGAGGUGCGAAAGCGUGGGGAGCAAACAGGAUUAGAUACCCCGGUAGUCCCUGUCUCUUAUAC
rnacentral:rRNA from 1 species